AGGCAGUGUGGUUAGCUGGUUGCAUAUUUCCUUGACAACGGCUACCUUCACUGCCACCC
rnacentral:pre_miRNA from 1 species